AACCUGGAUUUCCUUUGACCCACCAUACUCUCCUAGAUCUAGAAAUAGGGACAGAGCAGAAUCCGAUCUUCCAUUUUCCUUCAAUUGGGUUUAAAUGAUUCGGGCCUAUCUUGUUUCUUACAACCAUGUUGCCUCCAACUGAAAGCCGGUCUAUUUUCGAAGACAAGAAAGCUAUCGCUACCUUCAGCUCGACAAGUUGGAUUUCCAUCUCCUUUAAGGAAUUGUGCAUCUCAACAAGCUGGUCCUGAGACGUGAUUUGCGGAUCCCCUUCACUCUGAACUCCCGAAGCAUGACUGGUCUUUAGAGCUACAGCAUAGGAUCGCCUCGCCACUGAGGAUGUACUAGGAUCUUUGUGCACCUCCAAGUUUUCCUUCGCUGACACGCCACCGACAUGUCUGCUACACGACUCCCUAGCAGAGCCACGUCCUGCAGCACCUUGUCCUUCCAAACCACGCAGCACCUCCC